UGGGGGAUAUUGCACAAUGGAGGAAACUCUGAUGCAGCAACGCCGCGUGAGGGAAGAAGGUCUUCGGAUUGUAAACCUUAGUAGUCAGGGACGAAAGAAAUGACGGUACCUGAAGAGUAAGCUCCGGCUAACUACGUGCCAGCAGCCGCGGUAAUACGUAGGGAGCGAGCGUUGUCCGGAUUUACUGGGUGUAAAGGGUGCGUAGGCGGGACUGCAAGUCAGACGUGAAAUACCGAGGCUUAACUUCGGGGCUGCGUUUGAAACUGUGGUGCUUGAGUGAAGUAGAGCCAGGCGGAAUUCCUAGUGUAGCGGUGAAAUGCGUAGAUAUUAGGAGGAACACCAGUGGCGAAGGCGGCCUGCUGGGCUUUAACUGACGCUGAUGCACGAAAGCAUGGGGAGCAAACA
rnacentral:rRNA from 1 species